AAGGACCUCCCAGAUCACCAGCACCAACCCAUCCCCUCCACGCCCAGCAGCCACAUCCCGUUAGCAGCUCUGACUCUGCUGCUUUAGCUCCAACUGCACUUUCUAUCACCCCACUUGCUGAGCAGCUCCAGCAUAAGGCCCACGAACCAACGGCUGCUUUGGUGCCAAAUAACCGAGACUAAAAAAGAAAGCAGUUCCACCGAGCCGUGCCCACCACAGCAGCAGGGCAGGGGGCUCACGGGCUUCAGCAGCCCCAGAGAACACGAAGAGCUUUCAGAGAGCCCCCGAGCAGCUCAGGGUUGAGGAUUCAACCAGCCCAUAGAGCAGUGAGCGCUGCCAUCACCAAACCCAGCUUGACCCGGGGAAACAUCCUCCAUCAGUGCCACAGCUCCCGGGCUGGCGGUGUGUGCUACAGGAGCAACCAUCUCAGAGCAGUCUGCUGCUGCUCUCUGCUGCUUCCCGUUGCCGGUGGAAAGGACAGCAGAGAUGUGGAGAUGGUGACAUGAAGAAAAUGCUUCUCUGUGUUCAAGGAAAAGCAAAAUGCUGACACAGAAUAGUAAAAUCGCAUCAGUGAGCGGUAUGGAAAUAAUGCUGUACCCCACUGAUUCCCUGCAACAUGGUUAUCACAGUAACUUGUGAGGUCCUCAAGAAGUAGGGCAAUAAGUUAUUACUUGAUUCCCUUUCUAAUUCCCACUGUGUAGGUAGUUAUCUAACACACUCAUUUUCCAUCUUUUCCCUACAACAGGCACAACAUAAUGAAGUUUCAAGCCCUGCUACCAAAACUCCAUAGAAAAAAGAGGAGGGGAUGGAUGAGCUGAAUCUCUGGAGUGAAUCGGGCCAAUGCAGAUGUAACACAGCGCUCAGAGCUCACCCGGUCCUCCUAUGCUGCACUUCCUUGCCUACACACUGCAUGCUGGCUUUGCACUGACCCUUACAAUGCCCCCAUUGCAGAUCUCCAUUGAAGAUAAAAGCAGGUGGAUUCUGCCAGUUGCAAUGUACAGGGUGUAUGAGGCUGUGUGAGGAGCUGAAGAACAUUAGAACAGGGAUUAGAAUCCCCAAAUAAUUCCUGUGUGUGACCACUGGGGAGAAGGAAACGAGGCUCAGGAAGGAAGCGGAGCAUGAGGCAGAGCCAGGAAGUCCUGUGUGCUCAUUAGAGCUCCCACAGAGCAUCGGGGGAAUUCUAUCCUUCGUGCUGCUAAGAUUCCCUGCACCAGCAUCUACAUAGCUAUUAAACAUAAGACAGCAUCAGCCCUUCAUCUCUUAAAGAAAACGGCACCUGGUCAAUGGCUUAGUACUUUGCUUUUUUAUAUUGUUUCUUAAAUUCUUAAAGGAUUAAUACAUAACUUUCUAUGUUAGUAAACAUACCACAGUGAAAUUCACUCUCUCCUUCCCACAUCUUCAGAUUGCCAGCGCAUGCAGCAAGCACAAUUCCCUUAGGCUUAUGAAAAAAGUAGGUCAAGUGCCCAGCCUUUCCAAACACGUCUUUCUUCUCUAAAAAUGCAUCUCCCAGGAGAGAAUCACCCAAGUGUACCAGCCUGAUGGCUACAAGUAUCAACGGACAUCCCUUAAAGCCUGCUCUCCAAAGUUCCUCUUGAGUUGAAAAAGAAACCCAAAGCAAUGAAGCUGGUGUUUAAAGCUCUUGCUUGAAAUUAUAAGCAUGUUUUAAAAUAAAGAACACAGGCAUGGUUUAUGCAAAAUAAAAUUCAUACUCUGUAAGGGCCACAUGAUGCACAAUUACUGAAAAAUUACAGCACGGACCAGUUGGAGGGAGUCAAAGUGGCUGUGUAUCAUUAAGGGUAUUGCUGUACCCACCGAACCAGCUUCAGGGGCUGCAUAAUUGUUUCUGUCAACCUAUAAAUUCUUGAGUAACAACAAAAUUAUUGUGAUUUUUCUUGCUGAAUAAUUCAUACAUCACAAAGCAUAUCUACAACCAGGCCCAUGAAUCACUACGCAUAGAACCAUCAGACGUAACGGCAUUUCUUCCUUUGAGGAGCAGAUCUGAGUCUGUAAUAUACAUUUCUAAUUUUGCUUAACAUUUCCAAGUGUUCCUUAGAAGCCGUCUAUUCUGAAACUUCAUUUCAAAAUUGAAAGUUUCCUUGAUCAGACGUUUUGGCUGAAGGACUGCUCUGAACCAUCUUUUACACUUAGAAUUCUAUUAGCAUUAUUAACACCAUUGAAAGUAAGACAUUGGUUUUAUAACUGACUAGUACAAAGCUUAUAAACGGUGCUAUUAAAGUCUAAGCCGCACACAAUCCACCUUACCAAGCAAGUAGCAACCAUGACACUUCCAGAGUAGCUGAAGGAUAACACAAAGUCCUGCAUCAUUUCAAAGCUCGGCGGCUUCGACUCCAUUUUUUAAAUGCUGAAUUGAUUUAUAUUUGGGUUUCCUAUAAAACUGCCUCACUGAAACUGCUAAUAAUGUGGGUGGGUUCAGAUGGGACUCAGACAAAAACCACCACCUCUUACAGUGCGGCAGAACGCGCCCAUUAUGUGGAUUUCAUUUCUUCCUAAAAACAUAUUGCAGUGCCUUUAGUAGAAUAUCAUGAUGUAUUAGCAUAAAUAAUUAAGGUUAAACUACAGUCAUCUAGGAGUCAUAAAUAUUUUGAGUAAUAAAUAUACGAGCCUUCUUUAUUGCAGCUGCGUUUAUUCACUUACUAAUUCACAAAGGUCAAUAAUUUAC